AUCAAUUAGCAUUUUGGUUUUGGAGCAUCUGUAUGAAAUAAAAAAGCUGACCAGAAAGACUGUAGCUUUGUCAACAAAUGAAGCAAGACAGCUGGAUUUCCAAGAGGGUGAUAAUCCCUGCCUAGCUUUCACUUUCAGAACAAGAUGGAUGCAUUUAAAAAAAAGUUUUAAUUGAGUUUAUGGUACAUAUCAUAGGAAAAAGAUGGCUCUCUUUCACAACACACACCAAACAGAGUGAGCCUGAAUGUAACCAAAACAAAUCACACAAGUUCCCUAAGAAACCAAUAAUUUCAAUGCAGCAGAAAACAAUAAAAUACUUUUUAAAAACAUCUUUCCCUUAUCUAGAGAAUGCAAAAUGUUUUCCCUUUCAUAGUCUCUGUGUUAGGGCAAAAUGAUCUAGCUGGAAUGGGAUUCAAAAUUUUUUGCCUCCCAGAGAGGCACCUAAGCAUUGUCACCAGCAACAAGACUACCAUAUUUACUCAAAUACAAGAUGCCCCCCCAAAUAAUUAGAUUCUACACACAGAAAAUGUAUAAGUUUAUUAUAAUUUUCCAUGUGUGGAAUCUAAUUAUUGGAGGAUCAUCUUAAAUGUCUCCCUCCCCACUACUACAGGUAGUGGGGAAGAAAAGUGAUGAGGCAGUAGUGGGGUAGGUGGUAGGGAACAGACAGUGGGAGGGGCAGUAGGGGGCAGGUGAUAGGGGGCAGACAGUGAGGGACACAGGCAGCCUAUCCUCUGCUGCUUGCCUGCCCACCCCCUACCAGCCCCUAUGCCACAGCCUCAGGUUACCCCAAUUCCCGCUUUCCCUGUUCCCCCCUCCCCACCACUUCUGUCACCCACAGCCUCAGGUCCCUGCCCCGCUUCCUCCCAUCUCUCCCCCUCCUGAAGUCUCCCUCCCCCUGCCUGCCCCUCAGCCCUCCACCCUAAUCUUUGCUCUGAACCAGCUUCUGUCCCUGCUCCAGCCUGCCCCAUGCCAGCAGUGUGGAGGUGGUGCUGCUAUUUUAGCCUGGCCCCAGAGCAGCAGCAGCAGAUCCCUGCCACUACCGCUACAGGGCUGAAACAGCACUGCCGGCUCCACACCGCUGCUAAUUGAGUAAAUAUGGGAGUUUUGUUGGAGUGGAUGGAAAGGCUUGUCAGAAUAAAGGUUGCAGUUUAUUCCAUCCUGCCAGAACACAAGCCUGUAAAAUGAUAUGCUCUUCAGAUGCUGGAGAGAGAGGAGAUUUUGGGACAUUAAAAUAUAGAUUUCACCAGAGACUUAAGGCUCUCAUCUCAGUUCCAACCAGUUUCUACUGACAUCCAAAAGCAUAUUUUCUCCAAGUAAGAGCACAGCUGCCACAGACACCUUACCCAAGUGCUUAAACACAGAUUCCUAAAACUUGUGUUCUGCCUGGCCCAUUCAUUUAGCUUUUUCUGGAAAAGAAUGAGAACGUUCUUAAGUGAGUCAAUUAAGAACUAGCCAAUUCCUUAAUGUCUUCCCAAAUUAAAUAUAUAGUUAAUUAGCUGGGUCUAUACAGACACAUUAGAAGACACCUUCUAGAACUUUAUC